CUACAAUUCUCUAGAGAUGAUGGUUUUCUAUGAUUCACAGGUAAAUCACAACACCAGGAGUUGAUCUGCAUGGAAAAGAUGGUGGUUUGUGUUAGGAAAGAGAUUGCAACCACAGAGCAAGAUGCCAAAAUAAUGAUCCUGAGAGUGAAACAUCUUGUGGAUGGUUCUUGUGGGAGCUCCUGGCCUGCUCAGUUAGGGCACUUACUCUUCAGAAGGGAAAGAUCCCCAAGUCUGAUUCAGAGAUUUUUGGAGAAGAUGACCAUAGAUAGUAGGAGAAGCCCAACUGCUAGCAUGACUUAUCAGAAAAUAUUUGUCUAGAGAGAGUAUCACUCUAUUUAGCACUGAAGUGAAGCUCACUUUCAGCCAUCUUGAAAACAGUUUCAUCUUUUGCUGCUAUAACUAUCAACCUUCUUAAUGUAGAUAAUGGUGAUAAUAAAUCACUGCUUCUUGUUGAGGUCUUUGUAAAU
rnacentral:lncRNA from 1 species